rnacentral:rRNA from 1 species
UACGGAGGAUGCGAGCGUUAUCCGGAUUUAUUGGGUUUAAAGGGUGCGUAGGCGGACGCUUAAGUCAGCGGUAAAAUUGCGGGGCUCAACCUCGUCGAGCCGUUGAAACUGGGUGCCUUGAGUGGGCGAGAAGUACGCGGAAUGCGUGGUGUAGCGGUGAAAUGCAUAGAUAUCACGCAGAACUCCGAUUGCGAAGGCAGCGUACCGGCGCCUAACUGACGCUGAAGCACGAAGGCGUGGGUAUCGAACAGG